AUUAAUAUGUUAUGGAUUUAUUUCAAUAGUCAAUAAUAUUAUGUAUGAUAUUGGAACAUUAGAAGGUUGCCUUCCCAACUUAUAUCGUUGUAACCAAUUUAUAAUGUGUAAGGAGUCCUUGAUUAAAUGUGAAGACGUGCCACAAUUAAAUAAUAUUUUAAGGGAAUUGGUAAGGAAAUUAUCAAACAUAGUUGGUCAGGGAUAUGAUCGAUGUUCAUGUUUACAAAAAUGCAAAUGCUAAGCUGCAGAACGAC